rnacentral:rRNA from 1 species
UACGUAGGUGGCAAGCGUUGUCCGGAUUUACUGGGCGUAAAGAGCGCGCAGGCGGUCGUUCAAGUCGAGUGUGAAAGCCCCCGGCUCAACUGGGGAGGGUCAUUCGAUACUGAUCGACUUGAAGGCAGGAGAGGGAAGUGGAAUUGCCGGUGUAGUGGUGAAAUGCGUAGAGAUCGGCAGGAACACCCAAGGGGAAGCCAGCUGACUGGCCCGGUACUGACACUCAGGGACGACAGCGUGGGGAGCGAACCGG